GAUGAACGCUGGCGGCGUGCCUAAUACAUGCAAGUCGAGCGAACUGAUUAGAAGCUUGCUUCUAUGACGUUAGCGGCGGACGGGUGAGUAACACGUGGGCAACCUGCCUGUAAGACUGGGAUAACUUCGGGAAACCGAAGCUAAUACCGGAUAGGAUCUUCUCCUUCAUGGGAGAUGAUUGAAAGAUGGUUUCGGCUAUCACUUACAGAUGGGCCCGCGGUGCAUUAGCCAGUUGGUGAGGUAACGGCUCACCAAGGCAACGAUGCAUAGCCGAACUGAGAGGGUGAUCGGCCACACUGGGACUGAGACACGGCCCAGACUCCUACGGGAGGCAGCAGUAGGGAAUCUUCCGCAAUGGACGAAAGUCUGACGGAGCAACGCCGCGUGAGUGAUGAAGGCUUUCGGGUCGUAAAACUCUGUUGUUAGGGAAGAACAAGUACGAGAGUAACUGCUCGUACCUUGACGGUACCUAACCAGAAAGCCACGGCUAACUACGUGCCAGCCGCCGCGGUAACAC
rnacentral:rRNA from 1 species